UACGAAGGGGGCUAGCGUUGCUCGGAAUCACUGGGCGUAAAGGGCGCGUAGGCGGGUGCUCAAGUCUGUGGUGAAAUCCUCCGGCUCAACCGGAGAACGGCCAUGGAUACUGGGUGCCUCGAGGGUGAUAGGGGUAUGCAGAACUAUCGGUGGAGCGGUGAAAUGCGUUGAUAUCGAUAGGAACUCCGGUGGCGAAGGCGGCAUACUGGAUCACUUCUGACGCUGAGGCGCGAAAGCCAGGGGAGCGAACGGG
rnacentral:rRNA from 1 species